rnacentral:rRNA from 1 species
CCUACGGGGGGCUGCAGUGGGGAAUAUUGGACAAUGGGGGCAACCCUGAUCCAGCCAUGCCGCGUGUGUGAAGAAGGCCCUCGGGUUGUAAAGCACUUUCAGUGAGGAAGAACGCCUGGUGGUUAAUACCCAUCAGGAAAGACAUCACUCACAGAAGAAGCACCGGCUAACUCCGUGCCAGCAGCCGCGGUAAUACGGAGGGUGCGAGCGUUAAUCGGAAUUACUGGGCGUAAAGCGCGCGUAGGUGGCUUGAUAAGCCGGUUGUGAAAGCCCCGGGCUCAACCUGGGAACGGCAUCCGGAACUGUCAAGCUAGAGUGCAGGAGAGGAAGGUAGUAUGCCCGGUGUAGCGGUGAAAUGCGUAGAGAUCGGGAGGAAUACCAGUGGCGAAGGCGGCCUUCUGGACUGACACUGACACUGAGGUGCGAAAGCGUGGGUAGCAAACAGGAUUAGAUACCCCGGUAGUUC